rnacentral:rRNA from 1 species
UGCGUAGGCGGCGCGGAAAGUCAGGGGUGAAAUCCCGGAGCUCAACUCCGGAACUGCCUUUGAUACUCCCGCGCUUGAGAACUGGAGGGGACAUCGGAAUUCACGGUGGAGCAGUGAAAUGCGUGGAUAUCGUGAGGAACACUAGUGGCGAAGGCGGAUGUCUGGACAGUAUCUGACGCUGAGGACAAGGCCAGGGGAGCGAACG